UGAAAUCUCUAGAAAGACAAAUAUUUAGGAACGGAGGGAGUAUAACCAGAGCAGCAUGCAACACAAAAUAAACAUUUUAGGCCAUUGACCAAGCAGACACAGAUUCUACUCCCUUCGUUCCAAAAUAAUUGAAGUUAAAGUUUGACCAAGUCUAUAGAAAAAUACGCAACUAUCUAAAAUACCAAAUACUCCCUCCGAUCCAAAAUAAGUGUCGUGGUUUUAGUUCAAAUUUGUAUUAAAAUCACGACACUUAUUUUGGAUCGGAGGGAGUUAUAAUAUGAACAUAUAUUUCAUAAUCAAUCUAAUGAAGUAAGUUUGGUUUUGUAGAUGUUGAUGUAUUUUAUAUAGACUUGGUCAAACUUAAUGAAAUUUGACUUAGGACUAUCCUAGAACUUCAAUUAUUUUGGAAUGGAGGGAGUACAUCAUUAUAUAUUUUUUGCUAACUUAUAAGUUGGAGUUGGUGGUCGUGGUGUCACGCCUCCUAUCACUCCACUGUGCAACGUCCCAACUAACCUCACAGAACAAACUGGGCUCACAUCUGAUUGUGAUUAGCCAACAAAUCAAGCUUCACAAUAUUCUCAACCUAAAAGACUAACUCGAGUACAUAUGUAGCACCAUCCCCUCAGUUAUCCAUGCCGCAACACAGAAAUCCUCUUCUUUGGUCCUUCACUGACCCCACAGAGUGGAAUCAUGAGCUCUCUCGGCCCAUCGUCCAGAACUAGAGCAGCGUUGAUCUGGGUGCAGAUGCAUGCCAGAGAGAAGGCAGAUGAGACACUCCCCUACAUCGAGCCAUCGUUACUAACAGAUCUGCAAAUCUAUGUAUAUAUCAAUAGUGCAAGAACCUCCUGGCGGAGUCGAAGUGAAGGAAAAAGCCUGGGUAUGUUGUUUGUUCCAAACAUCAGCAAGGAAAGCGGAGGACUAGAUUGCUGUUCUGCGGAACAAGGUGACCAAGCGCUGCAGGAUGAUCUGAAGGAACCCAACCUGUCGGCCAGCCUGCACUCUAGUGAUGAUGUGGUUUCGGUCCCCUCGAAAUGAUCAGAGAUAACCCCAGGAAUUUGGUUCAAUGGUUUUUGGUCAAGGUUUAAAUUUGGUAUGGAUUUGACUUUAAAUUUUGAGACAAAUAAAUUGGUAUUCCUCGGAUCACCAUAAGUUUGAACAUUUCAGUUAAAAUUUUGAAGAACAAAAAUGUAAACCCUGGCAUGUCCCCAAGGCAAGCCCAUACUUAAGUGUGCCACCAUACUGCUAGAGCAAAGAAAACUGCACUACAGACUCACCGGAGCACAUGUAACAUCUGUUGAAGUGUAUAUGUGGAUUGCCUAGCCCUUUCCAUCA